AUUUCCCUCCGGUUGGCAGCGAAGGAGCCCAAGUGGCCUGGAGCCGGGACAUUGCCCUCUCUCUGCCUGGAGAUUUCCCUCCACUCCUCGUUCCCCAUCCAUUUCCUCUCUCCGACUGAAAAAUAGCAUUCCUCCUGGCUCCCUAAUUUGUUCCAAGCACAUAUUGUCGGACUUGAGGCUAUUAAUUAUCGACUGAAAAACAAAGUUUAUUAAAAAAUACUCCACUUCUCCCUCUUUCUGGCGGUGGACAUUAAACAGCAUCCCUAGACUUUCCCGCUCUGCUCGCCCUUCAGUGAUGCUAACAGGGGGAGGUAGGGCCCCGAGUUACCGUCUCUCUGGAUUGUUGUUGGUGCUGACUACCUGAUGUGUCGCUCCACGUCUUCGGUGUGAAUUGUAAUUUCUUCCUUGGUGUCUUGCAUCCUUGAUGUUACUGGCUUUUGAGCCCUCCAGAAUACACAUCAUAUAGCCCCUGAGGUGGCAUGGUGAUGUCUCCAUGAGGGAACCCCUUCCCACUCAUCCUGUCACGUAUAUCAUAGUG
rnacentral:sRNA from 1 species